AACGAACGCUGGCGGCAGGCUUAACGCAUGCAAGUCGAACGCAUCCUUCGAGGUGAGUGGCAGACGGGUGAGUAACGCGUGGGAACGUGCCCUUCAGUUCGGGAUAACCCAGGGAAACUUGGGCUAAUACCGGAUACGUGCGAGAGCAGAAAGAUUUAUCGCUGAAGGAUCGGCCCGCGUCUGAUUAGCUAGUUGGUGGGGUAAUGGCCCACCAAGGCGACGAUCAGCAGCUGGUCUGAGAGGAUGAUCAGCCACAUUGGGACUGGGACACGGCCCAAACGCCUACGGGAUGCAGCAGUGGGGAAUAUUGGACAAUGGGCGCAAGCCUGAUCCAGCCAUGCCGCGUGAGUGAUGAAGGCCUUAGGGUUGUAAAGCUCUUUCGUCCGGGACGAUAAUGACGGUACCGGAAGAAGAAGCCCCGGCUAACUUCGUGCCAGCCGCCGCGGUAA
rnacentral:rRNA from 1 species